GGGCCUGAAUUUCAGGUUAUGACCUUCGGCAAUAUCACAGGCAAUAUGGCGUCGAUGCAACGCGAUAAAAAAAGUUAAAAAUUGAUCCAAAUGCACUUUGUUUACAUGUCAGCGAUUCGCUUUAUGAAGCAAAUUGUUUAAAAAACAAAAUUGCUGAAAUCUCGUCCAUAAAUGUGGGAAUGACAGCUGACAGUCAGUCGGUUGAAGUCUUUUUGAUCUCUAUGCUAUCGUCUGCGAGGUUUUUGCCUGAAAGCGUGGUUAUUUCGAAGGUCGCUCGCAUUCUCGGGAUAUGUGAACCAGAUGUCAAGAAUGUAAUUCUUUUGUUUGAAAAAGCAGAGAGUUUUAACGGCAGUAUUAAUACCAGUAAAAACGAAGAAUUAAAUGUCAUCUUAACACCGUAAACUUCAAUCUGCUUCGAUUGUCAACAGCAGUGAAUUGUAAACCAUGCCCCAACAGAAGUUCGGAUUUACACUCUGAAAGGUUUUGUUAACGGAGAAAAAUGGUCCCUUCGCUGUAAUGGUGCAAGUCUACAUACAACUACAGCAAGUAUGGUUCACGCAAUGGCUGGAAAAUGUACGCAAAUCACUACAUCAGAGAACUCUAGUCGAAUCGUCAGAUUGUUGUUUUUUGGAGCUUGACGUUUUCAAUUGGAUGACUUCGUUGAGGUAAGUUCAUUAUUUAUUGCUGCUGAAGGGGAGCGUUACUCACAGUAGGAAAAACUUCACUAACAUCUCAUGUAUGGCCGGAUCGUGGAUUGAUUCAAAAUUCAGGCGAUAAAGUUACAAAACUAGGAGUUGGCUUUUAUAUGCUCUUCGAAUAAUUCCGUUUUCAUUCGCGUAUUACCACAACUUGUUGGUCUCAUGGGUGCCAAAAUCGACAUAUACGUAAACCGGUAACCAUAAACAUGCUACUGCGUGAUAGUGAUUUCGAAGGAACUUUGUCACAUAUAUUUUAAAAAGUGGGAUAAAUAUAAAUGAAUCAAAAUUUGUUUUUGCAACCCCAAAAGGUUAUCAUGACAGCAGCAAAAACCCCAUUAUGAUAGCAGCAAAAAUUGCACCUGAAAUCGCAGCAAAAUUGCAAGCGUAAACGGGCCUUAAGCCAAGGUUUACAGUUUAGGGUUUGCAAAGGACAACAUUUAUUGCAUUGGCUCAUGUAUACAUACAUGGUUCAGUUCAAAUAACAAUACAGUUCAGUACAGUACAAUACUGUUCAAUCUUUAUUAGCAUAUAUUAAAUGGUGUUGCCAUACAAACAUAAUAUUUAUAUGCUAGACUGUCUAGACAGCAUAUGUUCAAUAAAAAUAAACAAUAAAAAUAUCAAUAUAGUACAAGUAUGCGACUAUAAAAAUAUAUAAUUGAAUUACAGACUAGCAUGUACUUUUAAGCUGCUAAAUUGCUAAUAUAUUUCUGAGCAUAUAGUAUAGAGGGCCCCCUAUACUUUUUGCAUUAAGCGUGAAGGGCUUGUUUUACUUAGCUGUGAAACGUGAUCAGGCCCCCUAUACUUUUUGCGUGAAGCGUGAAGGGCUUAUUUUACUUAGCCGUGAAACGUGAUCGAUGAUUUUCUUAAUCCGUGACUCAUGAAAAGGCAAAAUAUUUUUACGUGAAAGCAUAUUGUGAAGAGGUAUAGGGGGCCCUCAGUAUAUGCUAUUAGAUAAGCAGGUAUAAAAGGUUGUUGGUGCCCUGGCUUCGCGUAACAGAAAGGAUGUAAUCAAAUCCUGAUUGAGUAUAAAGUGGUGUCGGAGGCUGGGGGGGGGGGGACACUUUGGCCAUUUUGUCUUUGGAGUUUCGACCCCUUAACUUUUAACAAUGGUCAAUAAUAAACCUCAAAGUUAAUUGAUUUUAUUUCAGUUAUGCUUGUAGACAAAACAAUUUGAGAUAUUUUAUGACGUUUUGUUACCUUUAGAACUCUGUAAAUCUCCUUCUAAAGUACAGGAAAUGGCAUUUUAGUGACUCUAGUUUUAAUAUUUCAGAGACUCUAGUUUUAAAAUGUUUAUGUCGCCCGCCUUUGGCAGGCGCUAAGCCCCCCCCCCCUUUAGACCUGCUCCGACGCCCCUGUGAGUAUAUAUUGAUCAGUAUUGGUAUUAUUUUAAGCUGAAGACUGACCUAAUAUGCUAAUAUUUUUAACCAAGUGUAAAUAAGUAUAGGUUAUUUUGAAGCAACAAGGGGAUAUGUGAUUUAUUUACCGAGGCGUGCAGCGCCUCUGCCAUCCAGAGGGGGAGGGGAGAAAAAAUUUCUGCCAUCCAGAGGGGGAGGGGAGAAAAAAAUGUUUCUGACAAUAGUAAAUGUAUGAGGACAUCCGAAGGGGGUAGGGUAGCAUGUGAACAGGCUCUCGAGCUGAAUUGAGAGCCUGCAUCGAUGACUAAUGAAUUUGAAUAUCUGCAUCUCAAAUCGUGACGCGAAAUUCUCAUUGGUCAGAUGCUAUAAUUUAUAUUAUUCCGCUGAGCUCUAUAUAUGUCAACUGCUAAGCACUAUGGAUAAAAAACACAUUAACUGAUCAAAUUGGUCUUGGCCAUCUUAUCUCAAAGCACAAGAUGUUCUGUUUUGAGAAAACAGUAUUUAAAACAUUUAAACUUUUGCUUCAAUAUCUUAUAUUUCGAAAAACAGUAUAAACUGUACAGUCUAAACUUAGUUCGCAUGGUCUAAAUUUAGUUUGCACGAAAGUUGUAAACAACACCAUAUAAUGAUAGACAUUCCAUAUUUGGAAAAACGAACGUUACAGGGCAGAUAUUCAAAUUCAUUAGUCAUCGAUGCAGGCUCUCAAUUCAGCUUGAGAGCCUGUUCGCAGGCUAGGGGUAGGGGGGUUAACUUCCUAUUUCCUCUGUGGGGUUGGUAUGGAUGUUUUCUGGAAUGACCCAGUGAUAGACUAGCUAACUACAAUAUAUUUAAACAUUACUUACUUUUCUUAUUUAGGUUGAAACUUUAAUGUGGACAAGAAUGAAACACAAGGUCUUUGGGGGUUCAAAUAGCAAGAGUAGUAAUAUACUGGCCAGGACCAGUAGUACCUCCUAGUAAGAGUACCCCUAGAACUGGCUAGAAGUUUCAAGAUACUGAACAGCAGAGCAAAUUAGUCAUAGCCAGUGGGGCAACAAAGUUAUUAGAACAGUUUAGAUUUUAAAAUUAUUGUAAUUAAUUAUUAUUCUUUGAAAAAGUUAAAUUAAAUUACUUCAGCUGUGUACUGUGUUAUAAAUGUGGGAUAAUUUUGCAAAGAAAUAUGCAUGUGAAAUGACAAAGAGAAAUGCACAAAAAAUACUGAAUUUUAAGCCAAGGGUGCCUGAAGUACAGAGUGUACCUUGUGUGUGGGGUAGGGGGUUGUGCACCCCCAUUUUCUGCUAAGAUUGUUGAUAAAAUCAGAAAAAGGAAUUCUGAUCAGUAAAAUAUGGGAGUGGUCAUUGG
rnacentral:lncRNA from 1 species